GUCUGAUUAGCUCAGUUGGUUAGAGCGUCGUACUAAUAUUGGGAAUGGAAUCCUCUCCAUGACAAGGUCGUCAGUUCAAUUCUGGCAGUGGGCA